rnacentral:rRNA from 1 species
UACGUAGGGUGCAAGCGUUGUCCGGAAUUAUUGGGCGUAAAGAGCUCGUAGGCGGUUUGUCGCGUCUGCUGUGAAAACUCGGGGCUUAACUCCGGGCCUGCAGUGGGUACGGGCCGACUAGAGUGAUGUAGGGGAGACUGGAAUUCCUGGUGUAGCGGUGAAAUGCGCAGAUAUCAGGAGGAACACCGAUGGCGAAGGCAGGUCUCUGGGCAUUAACUGACGCUGAGGAGCGAAAGCAUGGGGAGCGAACAGG